rnacentral:lncRNA from 10 species
CUCUUCAGGAAAGCCUUCCCCCUGCUUUGCAUGGCUCCCGGGGCGCUGACUGCGUGUUAACAUCAGGUGAGAGCGUGGUAGUGCACACCUGUAAUCACAGCUACUCAGGAGGCUGCGGCAAGAGAAUCACUUGAACCCGGGAGGCAGAGGUUACAGCGAGACAAGAUUGCACCACUGGACUCCAGCCUGGGCGGCGGAGUGAAAUUGCUCAAAUAAUGGAGCAAG